rnacentral:rRNA from 1 species
UACGUAGGUGACAAGCGUUGUCCGGAUUUACUAGGCGUAAAGGGCGCGUAGGCGGCCCGUCAAGUCCCGUGUGAAAGCCCCCGGCUCAACCGGGGAACGGCGCGGGAAACUAGCAGGCUUGAGUUCGGGAGAGGGAAGCGGAAUUCCGGGUGUAGCGGUGAAAUGCGCAGAUAUCCGGAGGAACACCGGUGGCGAAGGCGGCUUCCUGGACCGACACUGACGCUGAGGCGCGAAAGCUAGGGGAGCAAACGGG